rnacentral:lncRNA from 1 species
GAAGGCUUCUGGGCACAGUCAAAUACUUGCGAAGUCAGAGUGUGAUCGAGAUGGGAUUGACCACUCCAAGAGUUGGAGAAGAAUGAGUCGCUGUAUUUCAAUUUAGCAAAACCUUGGCCAGGGUAAUCCAUCAGAUGGAUUUGAUAUUUUGAAAUACAAUGUGGACAACCUGGUCAGAGUUGAUAGUUGAACUCUGGGGUGUUCUAUGACCAUUUUGGUCAAGGGGAUGAAUUAUAUGAAAACUAUAUCCGCAUGGGUUCUAAGGAUGUUGUUCUACACAUUCGACCUAUCCGGUCGUCGGGUACCAUUGCUAGAUGGUCACUUCGAUUGGUAUAAAAAUUUAUUUCUAUGCUACC